CUAAUUAAAAACUGCAGUGUGGAUGGUUAUUUGACAAUGGUUGUGGAAAAAGGCCAAUAAGGUCGGUAAAAUCUCGUGGCAACUUUAAAUGGGUCAAAUUUAGGCUGGAAACAGAGCAAUUGAUGAAAAAAGUUGGUCACGAUCUGAAUUUUGAAUUUGUUUUCAAAGUAAGAAAGCGAAUUAUUAAACCCGAAAUUUAGUGAUCAUACUUACUUAUAAGAGCGUGGUCUACAAAUCCACCGCUAAAAGCCAUCACAAGCCAAGAAGUUUUCUGAUUGUCACAUACACGUUUCAUGAUCGACGAGGAGGAUGAUGAUGGUGAGAAAUCGCGACUCGCUCUGCCAAAAUACUGCAGCUUAGGAAUCACGUUUCGCAUCAUCUUGCUCACAGAAUCGCUAAAUUAGGGUUUCUGAUUCAGAGUCUUCGAAUUGAUAAAUUAGGGUUUCAGCCCUGUCCG